rnacentral:rRNA from 1 species
UACGUAGGGGGCGUAGCGUUGUCCGGAAUCAUUGGGCGUAAAGCGCGUGUAGGCGGUCCGGUAAGUCCGCUGUGAAAGUCGGGGGCUCAACCCUCGGAUGCCGGUGGAUACUGUCGGGCUUGAGUACGGAAGAGGCGAGUGGAAUUCCUGGUGUAGCGGUGAAAUGCGCAGAUAUCAGGAGGAACACCAAUUGCGAAGGCAGCUCGCUGGGACGUUACUGACGCUGAGACGCGAAAGCGUGGGGAGCAAACAGG